CAUCCAGGGCUCUCUCUGCCCCCCUGGAAUGUCUCCCUGUACCCCGAGAGCAGCUGAUGGAGAGGGAAAAGAGCAGCGAGAGUGCUGCCGGCCCUCCCCAGUCCUGAAAAGCUUUCCAAGCUUCUUCCCGAGGGGUUGGUGGACCUGGCCACCGGCGAGGCGCUCAAAAAGCUACUGGAUGUGGCACUUAAUGCUACAACUGGUCUGGGUGACAAGGCCUUGCCUGGGGUCCCACUGCUCUGUUCCCGCACUGGUGCCUUCAUUUUACACCCCAGAGUUUGCAACCAAGGGUCAGGAACGCGGGUGUACAGCCCCCCGGAGCAGAUCCGCUUCCACCGCUACCACGGCCACUCAGCCUCCACCUGCUCCCUGGGUGUCCUGC